GUGAGGAAUUUUCCGCAAUGGGCGAAAGCCUGACGGAGCAUUGCCGCGUGAAGGAUGAAGGCCUAUGGGUUGUAAACUUCUUUUCUCAGAAAAGAAUUAUGACGGUAUCUGAGGAAUAAGCAUCGGCUAACUCUGUGCCAGCAGCCGCGGUAAGACAGAGGAUGCAAGCGUUAUCCGGAAUGAUUGGGCGUAAAGCGUCUGUAGGUUGUUUAAAAAGUAUUCUGUCAAAGAUUAGGGCUUAACCCUAGAUAGGCAGAAUAAACUUUUAAGCUAGAGUUUGGUAGAGGCAGAGGGAAUUCCCGGUGGAGCGGUGAAAUGCGUAGAUAUCGGGAGGAACACCAAAGGCGAAGGCACUCUGCUGGGCCAAUACUAACACUGAGAGACGAAAGCGAGGGGAGCAAAUGGGAUUAGAAACCCUUGUAGUCC
rnacentral:rRNA from 1 species